CCUGGUGGUUUAAGCGAGGCGGACCCACCCGUUCCCAUCCCGAACACGGCAGUGAAACGCCUCAGCGCUCACGAUACUGCUCUGGCAACGGGGUGGGAAAAUAGGUCAUUGCCAGGG
rnacentral:rRNA from 1 species